UACGUAGGGUGCAAGCGUUGUCCGGAAUUAUUGGGCGUAAAGAGCUCGUAGGCGGUCUGUCGCGUCGGCUGUGAAAACACGGGGCUCAACUCCGUGCCUGCAGUCGAUACGGGCAGACUAGAGUUCGGUAGGGGAGACUGGAAUUCCUGGUGUAGCGGUGGAAUGCGCAGAUAUCAGGAGGAACACCGGUGGCGAAGGCGGGUCUCUGGGCAGUUCCUGACACUGAGACACGAAGGCCAGGGGAGCAAACGGG
rnacentral:rRNA from 1 species